GCCUGGCGGUCCGCCUGGAGGCGUCCGUUGAGGAGGGGGUACUGUGGUGGUUGGAGUCCGGCUGGCUGUGAGUUCCUGUUUUUCUUUUCCUCAUGUUUUGCUGUCAGUUUGUGUUGCCUCUGUUUCUCUCUGUGUUCCCCCCUCCCUUCCUGUCUGUGCCAGCCAGCUGAUUGCGCACACCUGCUCGCCUCCUCACUACCGCUCUUCCCACCAUACACACCUGCCGGCCAUCAACUCCAAUCAAGCCCAGUAUAUAAACCCCGGAUUGACUCACCACCUUCGCUUGAUCGUUGCUCCUGCCUACUUGCCAUUGCCUUCCUCGUCACUCUGCCUCCAGUCAGCUGGCUCCUCCAUCCAGUUCCCCCUCACGGUUUCCUGCACCAGCCUGCCUCAGCCCUCGCCUCUCCGCGCUCCAGUACUUCCCUGUCGAGUUCUCAGACCCGGUCUCCCCGUGCCUCUGUUCCCGGUUCCAGCCCCCGUGCCUGUGCUCCCCUCUCUGGCAUCCACCUCCCCACUUCCCCAUUCACUUUCCCACUUUUCCUAAUAAAGUGAUUUGUGCUGA